GAAUCUAGCUUCAGGUUUGGGACAACCACUGGAAACGGUGGCUAAUACCGAAUGUGCCGAGAGGUGAAAGGCUUGCUGCCUGAAGAUGAGCUCGCGUCUGAUUAGCUAGUAGGUGGGGUAAGAGCCUACCUAGGCGACGAUCAGUAGCUGGUCUGAGAGGAUGAUCAGCCACACUGGGACUGAGACACGGCCCAGACUCCUACGGGAGGCAGCAGUGGGGAAUUUUCCGCAAUGGGCGAAAGCCUGACGGAGCAAUACCGCGUGAGGGAGGAAGGCUCUUGGGUUGUAAACCUCUUUUCUCAGGGAAGAAGACAAUGACGGUACCUGAGGAAUCAGCAUCGGCUAACUCCGUGCCAGCAGCCGCGGUAAUACGGAGGAUGCAAGCGUUAUCCGGAAUGAUUGGGCGUAAAGCGUCCGCAGGUGGCUGUGUAAGUCUGCUGUCAAAGAGCGAAGCUCAACUUCGUAAAGGCAGUGGAAACUACACGGCUAGAGUGCGUUCGGGGCAGAGGGAAUUCCUGGUGUAGCGGUGAAAUGCGUAGAGAUCAGGAAGAACACCGGUGGCGAAGGCGCUCUGCUAGGCCGCAACU
rnacentral:rRNA from 2 species